GUGGAUUAGAUACCCUGGUAGUCCACGCCCUAAACUAUGUCAACUGGUUGUCGGGGGAGCAAUCCCUUGGUAACGAAGCUAACGCGUGAAGUUGACCGCCUGGGGAGUACGGCCGCAAGGUUAAAACUCAAAGGAAUUGACGGGGACCCGCACAAGCGGUGGAUUAUGUGGAUUAAUUCGAUGCAACGCGAAAAACCUUACCUACCCUUGACAUGUACGGAACCUCGCAGAGAUGUGAGGGUGCUCGAAAGAGAACCGUAACACAGGUGCUGCACGGCCGUCGCCAACU
rnacentral:rRNA from 1 species